AACGAUAUCUAAUCUGAAAAAGCCAAAAAUAAUAAUAAUUUCAUAUGUGUCGGAGAAUAAAGAAUAUACGAUUAAAUUAUGUUCAAAAUGGGGAAAAUUAAUCGAGAUGGUAAAGAAAGUAAACCAGAGAAAGAAACACACACUGUAAUGAAGAAUAAAAAGUAAGAUCAUACCUAAACAACUUUGAAGGGCCGCUCCAACUCCACUCUCUCAAUCCGAUUUGAUUUGGUGUUGUACUCGUUUGGGUUUGGGGGAGACUAUACUUUUUUUAUUUAUAGUGUUAAAUCUCCGAGUCCGGAACCGUUUAAGAAUCAUACUCGUAUUUAGUUUAGGACUCCCAACUCCUGCUGGGUUUAGGAAUACUAACUCCUAUCUGAUUUACGACUUUUUAAUUCCUAUCAAGAUUUGGUUUAGGACUCCCAACUCCUACUGGGUUUAGGAAUCCUAACUCCUGGCUGAUUUAGGACUUUUUAAUUCCUCCCUAAUCUAUGACUCACCCUCGAAAGAGCUCGUAUCAAGAUUUGGGCUCCUGGUUGAUAUAGACUUGUACCUUAAAUUGCGAGAGAGGUCGGUUGCCAUGGUGGGUGGACGGAUUAGAUCUCCAGGAAAAGUAUACAGGGGCCAGAUCGUCUCUACGUGCUCCGGUCACCUGGGCUCAGGUGCUGGCGCGACGGUCCUCUCCGGUGAGCUCUUUGGUGUUCUCUGAUUUCAAAGUUUAAGAGGAUCAAGAGUGACUCGCCUGACUUUUUGGCGUUCGACGAUGCCCAACUUGCCGAAUGGCGACGGCCUUGGAGCCAUAGCUUGGUGGGACGGUUCCUCCGGCGACCUCCGACAUUGGAUAGCAUCAAGGCCG
rnacentral:lncRNA from 1 species